AGGGCUGUAGCUCAGUGGUAGGGGAUCUGCCUUGCAUGCAGAAGGUCCCAGGUUCAAACCCCGGCGUUUCCA